rnacentral:snRNA from 1 species
AUAUUUACCUGGCAGGGGAGAUACCAUGAUCAUGUAGGUGGUUUUCCCAGGGCGAGGCUUAUCCAUUGCACUCCGGAUUGCAGACCCCUGUGAUUUCCCCAAAUGUGGGAAACUCCACUGCAUAGGUUGUGGUAGUGGGGAAUUGCGUUCAUGCUCUUCCCCA